AAUUAGGAAGAAAACCUAAGCCCCCUUCUUUCUCAUCUUUCCCCUCUCCCUUAAGCCUCAGCCGCCCGAGAGGCGUUUCCGGCAUUCAUAAAACCGGCGGCGAUCGCGGACCAGCGGACCUCUCGAAGGCGUCCAUUCACCGUCGAUCCUCGCCGUGUCUUCACCGAGCGGCGGUCCUCUCCGGUAGCCACCGAACAGACUGGCGGCGCCUGUCUCUCCACAUAUUUUUGCUCCGAAACACUUCAGUCUCUUGAUUCCACUUUUAUCAAUCUCGGAUUUCAGCACCUACUGGAUACUACCCAAUACGCAGUAAGUCGAUCCAUUUGCAUGUCGGAAACUCACUGGGUGUAGUUUCGUACUGAUAUCUUGGCAUUACUUUGAGUGAACGAUGAAGGCUCUUAUUGAGUAAUCGUUCAGAUUGUUUUUUUUUUUUUUUUUUUUGAUAAGUUUGAAACUUCAAGAAUUUAAUCUCAAGCUUUUAUGGUCCGAUGCAAUAAUUAUAGUUGGUGGUAAAUAGCCAACUCUCAGAAUUCCUUAGUGCUUAGUUAGAUAGUCGGAAGAAUGUUUGAUUUAGCCUUAAAUCUUAAGUUUAUAUUGCCAGUAUGGUUACUUUCGUAGAAAGUUUCCAGGUUGUUUCUCACUAAAAAGUGUGUAACUUCAAGUGGAUUCAGUCUGGAUUACUGCAAAUCCCUUUACCAACGAAGCAAUCCAACAAUGAAGCAACUAUGGAUGUUCUCUGUUCCUCGUAGGCUCUUAGUAAAUCGGAUUAUUUUUGCUCCGUCUGCUUUCUCUCUCAGGAACACGAAUUAUUGCUUUUUACCUCAUGGCCUCCAUACUCAAUCUCCCUCCUCCUCCUCGCCUCCGCCCUCAAUCUCUUCGUUUUCGUUGCUUACUAACCUUAUUGAGUUAUUUUCCAACAAGCCUUCUGACCAUGCGAUCUUGGAGAGAAGUAUUAUGCAAAAGAAGGUCUUGGAGGUGAGUCAUGAACUGAUUCAGAACGCAGAAAAUUCUGAUAAGAUAAUGAAAAUAUUGAAAGACAGUGAAGACUUGCUCCUAAGGAAACACGCCGACGGUUUGGCUUUUGUCGAGUUGCUGAAGCAGUUGGGUUCACAGCCUUACUUAGCAUUGGAGGUGCUUAAUUGGAGAAGAAGGCAAGGAGGUUCCUUUCCUUUAACUGCAGAGGAAUAUGCCAAGGGUAUUGCAGUUGCAGGUAGAUCUAAACAUAUUGACCUUGCAGUUGGGUUGUUCACUGAGGCUUCUAAUAAAAGGGUCAAGGCAACCUCUACUUAUAAUGCAUUGAUGGGUGUUUACAUGUAUAAUGGCUUGGCUGACAAGUGCAACUCAUUGUUUCGGGAUCUUAAGAGGGAUGCAGAUUGUGUUCCUAAUAUUGUAACAUAUAACAUUUUAUUAUCGCUAUUUGGUCGUUUGAUGUUAGUUGAUCACAUGGAGGCUACCAUGAGGGAAAUACAUGAUUUGAAUCUCUCACCUAACGUGAACACAUACAAUCAUCUAUUAGCUGGGUAUAUUACUGCAUGGAUGUGGAAUAGAAUGGAGCAAACCUUUAUGAAGAUGAAGUCGAGUUCAAUAAAGCCCAACACUGAGACUUUUUUGUUAAUGCUUCGUGGAUAUGCACAUUCUGACAACCUUGAAAAGAUGGAAGAGAUGUAUCACUUGUUAAAAGAUCAUGUCAAUGAAAAUAAAUUCCCUCUUAUUAGAAUUAUGAUAUAUGCAUAUUGUAGGAGUUCUAUAACAGAUAAAGUGCAUAAGAUUGACGCUUUGUUGAAGCUUAUUCCAGAAGAAGAAUAUAGAGCAUGGUUGAAUUGCAAAUUGAUAAGCAUCUACGCUCAAGCAGAUUGCUUAGAGAGAAUGGAACAUUCAAUAAAUGAAGCAUUUGAGCAUGGUACUUCAAUCUAUACGGCCCGUUUGAUGCGCUGCAUUAUUGCCAGCUAUUUUCGGUGUAAUGCAGUGGACAAGCUGAUAAACUUCGUUAGUCGUGCUGAAUCUGCAGGCUGGAGAAUCUGUCGGUCUUUAUAUCAUUGUAAAAUGGUUAUGUUUGCAUCACAAAAUCGUUUUGAAGAAAUGGAGUGUGUCCUUGAUGAAAUGAAAAAUAUCAACAUGGAUUGGACCAAAAAAACAUUUUAUAUUUUGUAUAAGGCCUACUCAACAAGUGGUUGCAGGUACAAGGCUAAUCAAGUGGUAGGUCGUAUGUGCAAGCUUGGGUAUGGGGUUCCCGUGGACUUGGAUUCAUCACCAUCUUGAUGUCCUCCUCCAUUUGAACGAUCGAAGGAAUGGAAAUUCCACAUUUGACUUAACCAAUUGAUCUUAUUGGUUUUUCUCAUGAAUAAGUGCAGAGCUGAGAUUUCUGAGAUAGUAGAAAUCGAGCAUUCAAAGCAAGCAGAAAUUUUAAAGAAUGUUUCAAGGAAAUUUAGUCAAUUGGACAAGAUCAAUGGAAGAAAUCAAGUGAAAGGGUGGAGAAAAUCAAGCUUAAGACCCGAGGGGCAGUGUCGUGAUGUUUCGCAAGCCAUACCACCUGUGAGUGUAGCAUUGAAAGCAUCUCAGCGUCACGCAUAUCAUGUAAGCCACAGAUGAAUUGCACGUGCACUUUUUCAGAGUGUUUCAUUCGAUGUUAUGGGCAGAGUCUCAAAUAACUUAUGAGUUUUUAUAAGGGGUAGUUGCAUAAAUGUCAAAAAAGCCUAAAAUGAUAGGCAUAUUUAGUACAUGGAAAAAAAUUGCAUAUAUAGCAAAAAAAAAAAAAAAAAAAGUAAAAGGCUAAAAUACCCAUGUCCAACUACCAUUUUGGGCGUUUUUUGUCGAAUUUCUUAAAUUAAAAAUUAUCAUUGAUGACGUCUAUCAUGGAUACAACUAUCAUCAGUAACAUCUAUCGGUGGUAACGUCUACCAUUGAUAAAUGCGAUAGUGAUAUACUAUCAUUGAUGACUUUCAAUUUGAUAAAUGAUUAUUUCUCACACUUUUUUA